GGAAUCUUCCACAAUGGGCGCAAGCCUGAUGGAGCAACACCGCGUGAGGGAAGAAGGUCUUCGGAUUGUAAACCUCUUUCAGCAAGGAAGAAGAAAGUGACGGUACUUGCAGAAGAAGCCACGGCUAACUACGUGCCAGCAGCCGCGGUAAUACGUAGGUGGCGAGCGUUAUCCGGAAUUACUGGGUGUAAAGGGUGUGUAGGCGGGGCGCCAAGUCAGAUGUGAAAAUUACGGGCUCAACCCGUAACCUGCGUCUGAAACUGGUGCUCUUGAGAGUGGGAGAGGUAAACGGAAUUCCUGGUGUAGCGGUGAAAUGCGUAGAUAUCAGGAGGAACACCGGUGGCGAAGGCGGUUUACUGGACCACAACUGACGCUGAGACACGAAAGCGUGGGUAGCGAACA
rnacentral:rRNA from 1 species